rnacentral:rRNA from 1 species
AGGUAAGCUACUAAGAGCGAAUGGUGGAUGCCUUGACUGGUAAAGGCGAUGAAGGACGUACUAGACUGCGAUAAGCUACGGGGAGCUGUCAAGAAGCUUUGAUCCGUAGAUUUCCGAAUGGGGCAACCCAAUGUAUAGAGAUAUACAUUACCUAUAUAGGAGCGAACGAGGGGAAUUGAAACAUCUUAGUACCCUCAGGAAAAGAAAUCAAUAGAGAUUGCGUCAGUAGCGGCGAGCGAAAGCGCAAGAGGGCAAACCCAGUGCUUGCACUGGGGGUUGUAGGACUGCAAUGUGCAAGAGGUAAGUUUAGCAGAACAUUCUGGAAAGUAUAACCAUAGAGGGUGAUAGUCCCGUAUGCGAAAAACAAACCUUAGCUAGCAGUAUCCUGAGUAGGGCGGGACACGAGGAAUCCUGUCUGAAUCUGGGUCGACCACGAUCCAACCCUAAAUACUAAUACCAGAUCGAUAGUGCACAAGUACCGUGAGGGAAAGGUGAAAAGAACUGAGGUGAUCAGAGUGAAAUAGAACCUGAAACCAUUUGCUUACAAUCAUUCAGAGCCCUAUGUAGCAAUACAGGGUGAUGGACUGCCUUUUGCAUAAUGAGCCUGCGAGUUGUGGUGUCUGGCAAGGUUAAGCAAACGCGAAGCCGUAGCGAAAGCGAGUCUGAAUAGGGCGCUUAGUCAGAUGCUGCAGACCCGAAACGAAGUGAUCUAUCCAUGAGCAAGUUGAAGCUAGUGUAAGAACUAGUGGAGGACUGAACCCAUAGGCGUUGAAAAGCCCCGGGAUGACUUGUGGAUAGGGGUGAAAGGCCAAUCAAACUUCGUGAUAGCUGGUUCUCUCCGAAAUAUAUUUAGGUAUAGCGUUGUGUCGUAAUAUAAGGGGGUAGAGCACUGAAUGGGCUAGGGCAUACACCAAUGUACCAAACCCUAUCAAACUCCGAAUACCUUAUAUGUAAUCACAGCAGUCAGGCGGCGAGUGAUAAAAUCCGUCGUCAAGAGGGAAACAACCCAGACUACCAGCUAAGGUCCCUAAAUCUUACUUAAGUGGAAAACGAUGUGAAGUUACUUAAACAACCAGGAGGUUGGCUUAGAAGCAGCCAUCCUUUAAAGAAAGCGUAAUAGCUCACUGGUCUAGUGAUUUUGCGCGGAAAAUAUAACGGGGCUAAAGUAAGUACCGAAGCUGUAGACUUAGUUUACUAAGUGGUAGGAGAGCGUUCUAUUUGCGUCGAAGGUAUACCGGUAAGGAGUGCUGGAGCGAAUAGAAGUGAGCAUGCAGGCAUGAGUAGCGAUAAUUAAUGUGAGAAUCAUUAACGCCGUAAACCCAAGGUUUCCUACGCGAUGCUCGUCAUCGUAGGGUUAGUCGGGUCCUAAGUCGAGUCCGAAAGGGGUAGACGAUGGCAAAUUGGUUAAUAUUCCAAUACCAACAUUAGUGUGCGAUGGAAGGACGCUUAGGGCUAAGGGGGCUAGCGGAUGGAAGUGCU